rnacentral:rRNA from 1 species
UACGUAGGGGGCAAGCGUUGUCCGGAUUUAUUGGGCGUAAAGAGCGUGUAGGCGGCCUUACAGGUCAGCUGUGAAAACUCGAGGCUCAACCUCGAGACGUCGGCGGAAACCAUCUGGCUAGAGUCCGGAAGAGGAGAGUGGAAUUCCUGGUGUAGCGGUGAAAUGCGCAGAUAUCAGGAAGAACACCCAUGGCGAAGGCAGCUCUCUGGGACGGUACUGACGCUGAGACGCGAAAGCGUGGGGAGCGAACAGG